CCCAAAAUAACUAAAAUGAAUCUUAACAAACUGUUUGAUAUAAUGAAAGAAAAUGACACCAAGGCAAACAAAAAGGAACGAGGAAACAGAAAUAAGAUUUCCCAUCUCCCUGCGCCUAGAAAGAAACAGUCUGCUACCAACCAUAAGCAAAACGUUAAGCAAACAGACAGCCUAAAUACAGAUGAGAAUUCCCAGGUGACUAAUCCAGAGCUCACUGGAAAGGAACAUAACAACAAACUCUCUAUGCUACAGUAUGAAAAGACAAAUAAUACCCAUCCUCAAAAGAGUAUCAGCCCAGUUUCUUUUAUCCAAACACAAUGGAAUCUACAACUUAUGCCUAUGCAAUUGGCAUUUACAAACUACCCCAAGCUCCAGGGUUUUAUGUCUCAAAGAGCAAAGAAACAACAUUUUGCUGACCUUUUCUAUCAACUCACCUCUUUUUGGCUCCCCUGGACUGAAAUUCACAAGGUAGAAUACCUAAAUCAUAAAAGGGCUAUAAUAACUUUUUCAUCACGCGCAACAGUAAGAAGAAUUCUGGCACACAAGUGGUCCUUUGCCCAAGAAGAAAUUGGCAUGACAAGAUAUUAUAUGGAUCAGACAUGCAACAUUGACAACAGUAUCUUUAGCAAAAGAGAACNGGNAAACAAUAAAAACNAAGAAUUUUCNCCUGAGGAAUUAUCACUGAUAUCAUCAUUCAACAAGCUACCUGCUUUAGAACAAAAGAACAUUUUAUCAAGACUGUCUCAGCUAAAAAUUACCCUACAAGAACAACAAGAACUUNACAGUAGACCAAAGGAGCAGACUUUACUCGCAAGGAGAUCUCCUACAGCUGGUAAUUUUUCUCAUUCCUUACUACAUACUACAAAAACAAACUACUCACCUGCAAUUAAAUUGCAACAAGAUAAUGGGCCUAACCUAAAAAGACUAACUUUGCAGUUAGAUACUAAAAUCUCACCACUUGACUACCAAAAAAAGGACUUAAAAUUUUCGCGCUUUCACGUGGUGGAUUGGCAAGCUAUGAGACGCCUCUCAGAUAAGGAGCUGGGUCAACCGGAUGUAUCAAAGAACUGCCAAAAGACCCUGCCCUUGUACUUUGAUAGACAAACCAACGUCGUUGUCCAUGACUAUAAUGAUGAAAUAGAGGUUUUCCCUGCAACAAUGAACAAAAGAGAUAAAAAGGAAAACCC
rnacentral:lncRNA from 1 species